UGCAGCUAAUAUGACGUCACCCUUUUCAAACUUGCAUCGUCAUGACUGAACGCACUCUUACGUCGUUUGUUUUGGAAGAAAGACGAACAGUUGAAUGCUGUUCCGGCUUCCUUCAAGACAGUGAAAUACUUGCAGAACAACUUCUAAGGUAAUUUGUUUGUGGACUUCACCACAACACGGUAACCAGUUUACAGUGCCAUAUGCUUUUCUGUUAGUGCUGAUAGCCGUAAAUAACCCACGUAAAUUCAGUGAAAGGGUCUUGCUUAAAUUGGAAUAGAUUUGUUAUUCUUACAUUCGAAAUUAGGAACUGUAGUGAGUGAUUCGUUUAACAAGAGUCUAAAUACUAUAAAGGAAAACAAACUAUAAUAGACGUUAGUGAGGCCUAGGCGUUCCUAAGUGCAGAGAAAACGAUAUACAUUACUUUUUAUUAGGUUGCAGGUCGAAGUUGUGUUUCGAAAGUGCAUUCUCGUAGUGACAGUGGAUUUAGUCUCUUGAUUUGUGAGUGAUAUGAUUCAGACAGAAGAGAAUGGAUGUUUUCUUCAAGUCCUUCAAACAGAGGAUUGUGUUUAAUAAAUCUGUUGGCAAAUUCUUGGGUCAUACCUCAGUGUCCAGUUAGGUCAACGAAUAAAUUAAAUGUCGGCUGUGAUCAUCUGUAUAGUGACCGUGCGAACAGCCCUCAUCUCCACCGUUGUGAUAACCUCAUAUUUCAGAUGACUUUCUAAUGGAAACCGAAUAAUGGUGACAUCACCAGUAGAUGUCGCAUGCGGGAAAUACCACUAUUAGUACGUUUAGGUUAAAACGUUUUGGAGUGUACAGCUGCUGCAGGCUCCUUGCGUAUUCCUGCCGUCUACUUAGGGCGAAGUUGUUGCACAGAACAGCGCCGGGCAUCAAGCGGACAAAAGCCUUACGAAUUGCGAUGACUGAAUUCCAAGAAGAUUUGUGGAGCUUCAACUCUUUUAAGCUGUUUGCUGCAGUUCAUGCGCAAAUGGAAGGUAGCCGUGAUGUGUUUCAGGACGUGUCUGUCAAUAUAUACUGCAUGAAACGUUAGGUUAGGUUAGGUCUGAAGGAAAGGGAGAUUAACAAGAAUAAAAUUUUCAUUAAAUUGUUAUUUAUAGAGUGAGGACAUUAAUGAUCUUUGUUGUGUUUUGUCAAGAGCGUGUUUUAAAACAUACAAAACAUAAUGUAUACCGACUGAUAACAUUUUAAUUGCGGUUGUGAAGUGUAAUUGAUAUAGAGUCUUGCAGAGAGGCUGAGUGUGAUACUAAUAAUUAUUUAUUGGUUUCAAAAUGCAAGGAAAUACUCUCAGUCAAAAUAACGCAACGUUCAUAUAAAACCCAGAUGUAGGAGUAUUAGAUCGUAGAUGUAAUUUGAGUUUUAUAAAAUGUACAGUAGCUAGAUAAUGAAACUGGCACUUUGAAUGAAAUUAUCUAAAAUUUUGCCUAGAUGAGCGAAGGGUACUCAACCAGUUUAAUGAUGGUUAGUAGAAAUGCCAUGAAUUCAUAUAACAAAGAAUUGGAAAGUUAGAUUUCAGAAAUUGUAAGUUCUAAAGAAGUAAGUAAGGAGAUAAUAAACGUUGUUAAAAUCGGAAAUACAAAGACGAGAUGGGAACUAAUAUAAGAAAUUAUAUCAAAGGCAUUCAAGAAGUACCGACUUGAAUCUAAAAAUAU